UAUACCGUGAAACUGCGAAUGGCUCAUUAAAUCAGUUAUCGUUUAUUUGAUAGUACCUUACUACUUGGAUAACCGUGGUAAUUCUAGAGCUAAUACAUGCUGAAAACCCCGACUUCGGAAGGGGUGUAUUUAUUAGAUAAAAAACCAAUGCCCUUCGGGGCUCCUUGGUGAUUCAUAAUAACUUCUCAGAUCGCAUGGCCUUGCGCCGGCGACGGUUCAUUCAAAUUUCUGCCCUAUCAACUUUCGAUGGUAAGGUAGUGGCCUACCAUGGUUUCAACGGGUAACGGGGAAUUAGGGUUCGAUUCCGGAGAGGGAGCCUGAGAAACGGCUACCACAUCCAAGGAAGGCAGCAGGCGCGCAAAUUACCCAAUCCCGACACGGGGAGGUAGUGACAAUAAAUACUGAUACAGGGCUCUUUUGGGUCUUGUAAUUGGAAUGAGUACAAUUUAAACCUCUUAACGAGGAACAAUUGGAGGGCAAGUCUGGUGCCAGCAGCCGCGGUAAUUCCAGCUCCAAUAGCGUAUAUUAAAGUUGUUGCAGUUAAAAAGCUCGUAGUUGAAACUUUGGCCUGGCUGGCAGGUCCGCCUCACCGCGUGCACUUGUCCGGCCGGGCCUUCUUUUCUGGAGAACCGCAUGCCCUUCACUGGGUGUGUUGGGGACCAGGACUUUUACUUUGAAAAAAUUAGAGUGUUCAAAGCAGGCCUUUGCUCGAAUACGUUAGCAUGGAAUAAUAAAAUAGGACGUGCGGUCCUAUUUUGUUGGUUUCUAGGACCGCCGUAAUGAUUAAUAGGGACAGUCGGGGGCAUCAGUAUUCAAUUGUCAGAGGUGAAAUUCUUGGAUUUAUUGAAGACUAACUACUGCGAAAGCAUUUGCCAAGGAUGUUUUCAUUAAUCAGUGAACGAAAGUUAGGGGAUCGAAGACGAUCAGAUACCGUCGUAGUCUUAACCAUAAACUAUGCCGACUAGGGAUCGGGCGGUGUUAUUAUUUUGACUCGCUCGGCACCUUACGAGAAAU
rnacentral:rRNA from 1 species